AGUGAAGCAUCUUUCUUCUCUUCUGGAGGAUCCCAACUGUAAACUGGAUAAACUAUACGUUGAAAACUGCAAUAUAACAGAAGAGGGCUUCAGUUCUCUUGCAUCAGCACUGAGAUCAAACCCCUCACACAUGAGAGAGCUGUGGCUAGAUGGGAGUAAAGCAGGAGCCUCAGGAGUGAAGCAUCUUUCUUCUGUGCUGGAGGAUCCCAACUGUAAACUGGAGAAACUAGACCUGUCAAACUGCAGUAUUACAGAUAAAGGCCUCAGAUCUUUACUAUCAGCAGUGAGAUCAAACCCAUCAGCCCUCAGAGAGAUUUGGCUGAAUGGGAAUCAUCCUGGACCCUCAGCACUGCAGCUGUUCUCUGAACUUCAGAAAGAUCCAAACUGUAAACAUAUCAAAAUAUCUGGACUCUCAUGAAUCGAUUCAAAUUUUAUUCCACAUUAAAUAUAUCUCUCUACACUGUGUAUAAAACAAAUAAUUAUAUCUGAUGUAAAAAAAUAAAUUCUUUAGUUACUGGAAUGAUUAGUGACAUGUUGUGACAAGUCACUGCAUAUAUGAUGUACGUAUAGUAGUUGUCCAACAGCUCCUUUCCACUGUACCUGUCUUUGUUUAGGAAGAAAUGAUGUUACUCCUAUCUCUGUACUCCACUGGACUUAAAUUUAUUUCCCUAUCCCUUGUAUACUACUUGCAUCACGUUACUAUUUGAAGUAAUAUGUAUGUUUUUUUUUUAAGUAACAAAAAAAAAAUGUCAGUACUGUUAGUAUUGUAUAAAGAAU